CGGCGGGGGACGACGCCGGGGACGCCGCCGAGCUGGAGGCCGAGCUGCUGGCGCUGGUGGGAGGCGGAGCUGCGCCGGGAGAGAAGCCCGAGGGGAAAACCCCUUUGCCGAUGGAGGCGAUUGAGAGGAUGGCUGCCCUCUGCAUGAAGGACCCGGACGAGGAGGAGGAGGAGGAGGGGGACGACGACGACGAAGAGCUGGAGGACGAUCUCAUGGCCGAGCUGCAGGAGGUGCUGGGCAAAGGGGAAGGGAGCGCGGACGCGCCGGCGCCUCCCGCCAAGGU